UACGAAGGGGGCUAGCGUUGUUCGGAAUUACUGGGCGUAAAGGGCGCGUAGGCGGUACUUCAAGUCAGGCGUGAAAGCCCCGGGCUCAACCUGGGAACUGCAUUUGUGACUGCAAGGCUGGAGUGCGGCAGAGGGGGAUGGAAUUCCGCGUGUAGCAGUGAAAUGCGUAGAUAUCUGGAGGAACACCGGUGGCGAAGGCGGCAUCCUGGACCAAUUCUGACACUGAGGAGCGAAAGCCAGGGGAGCAAACGGG
rnacentral:rRNA from 1 species